GCCCUUCCUACGGGAGGCAGCAGUAGGGAAUCUUCCACAAUGGGUGCAAACCUGACGGAGCUAUGCCGCGUGAAUGAAGAAGGUCUUCGGAUCGUAAAGUUCUGUUAUUAGAGAAGAACAAGUCAAGGAGUAACUGUCUUGACUUUGACGGUACCUAACCAGAAAGUCACGGCUAACUACGUGCCAGCAGCCGCGGUAAUACGUAGGUGACAAGCGUUGUCCGGAAUUAUUGGGCGUAAAGGGAGCGCAGGCGGUUGGAAUAGUCUGAUGUGAAAGCCCACGGCUUAACCGUGGAAGGUCAUUGGAAACUGUCCAACUUGAAUGCAGAAGAGGUAAGUGGAAUUCCAUGUGUAGCGGUGAAAUGCGUAGAUAUAUGGAGGAACACCAGUGGCGAAGGCGACUUACUGGUCUGUGAUUGACGCUGAGGCUCGAAAGCGUGGGUAGCGAACAGGAUUAGAUACCCUGGUAGUCCACGCCGUAAACGAUGAGUGCUAAGUGUUGGAGGGUUUCCGCCCUUCAGUGCUGGAGUUAACGCAUUAAGCACUCCGCCUGGGGAGUACGACCGCAAGGUUGAAACUCAAAGGAAUUGACGGAAGGGC
rnacentral:rRNA from 1 species